GGCCGACUGGCGCAAUGGUAGCGCGUCAGACUUCUACUGCAAUCAGUGAUCUGAAGGCUGCGGGUUCGAGACCCGCGUUGGUCA
rfam:Colletotrichum gloeosporioides Cg-14 contig01976, whole genome shotgun sequence.